UCCAUCCGAAAAUACUUGUCAUCAAAAUGGAUAAAAAAAGGGAUGUAUCUAGAAUUAAAAUACAUCUAGAUACAUCCCCUUUUAUUCAUUUUGAUGACAAGUAUUUUCGGACUGA
rnacentral:pre_miRNA from 1 species